rnacentral:misc_RNA from 1 species
UCCUAGUUAACCUAGGCAGUCUUGCCAGAGUCCCCGCCAUUACGCGUUGGCAACUGACAAUAAGGGUUGCGCUCGUUGCGGGACUUAACCCAACACCUCACGGCACGAGCUGACGACAGCCAUGCAGCACCUAUAGUAAACCCCUUUCGGGAAACAACAUCUCUGUUGCGGUGCUUACCAUUUCGAGCCUGGGUAAGGUUCUUCGCGUAGCAUCGAAUUAAACCACAUGCUCCACUGCUUGUGCGGGCCCCCGUCAAUUCUUUUGAGUUUCACCCUUGCGAGCGUACUCCCCAGGCGGCAUACUUAACGCGUUAGCUCCGAUACAGAUAGGGUUGAGCCCACCUACAUCUAGUAUGCAACGUUUAAGGCUAGGACUAC